UAUAAAUAAGCGGAGGAAAAGAAACUAACAAGGAUUGACGUAGUAAGGGCGACUGAACUGUCAAGAGCUCACCGUGUGAAUCAGCGUGCGCAAGUGCGUUGAAUUGUGGUUUGGAGGUGUAUGCACUAUUGCGCAGGGCAAAGUCCCUUGGAAGAGGGCAGCAUAGAGGGUGAUACUCCCGUUUGCCUUGUGCUUGAGCGUAUACCAAUGAGUCGAGUUGUUUGGGAUUGCAGCUCAAAGCCGGUGGUAAAUUCCAUCGAAAGCUAAAUAUUGGUGGGAGACCGAUAGCGCACAAGUACCGUGAGGGAAAGAUGCAAAGAACUUUGAAAAGAGAGUUAAAGAGUGCCUGAAAUUGCUGAGAAGGAAGCGAAGGAAAGUAGUGAGUAGCUGCGCCAUACUUCCUGACCUGCUUGCUGGUUGGGCGCUGUGGUCAGCGAGGUUCAACUUGGUUCGGUUGAUGGAAGUUGCAGCAGCAACAGAAUGUUGCAGCUGCUUGACGUUGGCUGGACUGGGAGGAACGAAAUGGUUUUCUUUGCCCC
rnacentral:rRNA from 1 species